ensembl:lncRNA
AGGAGAACGGAGAGGUCCUCUCUCUAAAGGGAGCAUUGAGAGGUUAAGUUCUGCUCAUCUCCCUCUUCUCCCAAGCAUUCCUAGCUGUGGUGACACCGUGCCAAAGAGUAUAUGUUAUGUAAUAGCAUGACUGGUCAGAGGGGCAAGUCACUAAAAGCCCACAGGGCAGUCUUCAGGGCACAUCCUCAAGUGUAGAGUGUAGAGUGUGAAUGUGUGUUAGAGAGAAGAGAGAUGGUAUGAAUGUGUGUUAGAGAGAAGAGAGAUGGUAUGAAUGUGUGUUAGAGAGAAGAGAGAUGGUAUGAAUGUGUGUUAGAGAGAAGAGAGAUGGUAUGAAUGUGUGUUAGAGAGAAGAGAGAUGGUAUGAAUGUGUGUUAGAGAGAUGUUAUGAAUUUGUGUUAGAGAGAAGAGAGAUGGUAUGAAUGUGUGUUAGAGAGAUGGUAUGAAGGUGUGUUAGAGAGAAGAGAGAUGGUAUGAAUGUGUCAGAGAGAAGAGAGAUGGUAUGGAUGUGUCAGAGAGAAGAGAGAUGGUAUGAAUGUGUGUUAGAGAGAUGGUAUGAAUGUGUCAGAGAGAAGAGAGAUGGUAUGAAUGUGUCAGAGAGAAGAGAGAUGGUAUGGAUGUGUCAGAGAGAAGAGAGAUGGUAUGAAUGUGUGUUAGAGAGAAGAGAGAUGGUAUGAAUGUGUGUUAGAGAGAAGAGAGAUGGUAUGAAUGUGUGUUAGAGAGAAGAGAGAUGGUAUGAAUGUGUGUUAGAGAGAAGAGAGAUGGUAUGAAUGUGUCAGAGAGAAGAGAGAUGGUAUGGAUGUGUCAGAGAGAAGAGAGAUGGUAUGAAUGUGU